UACGAAGGGGGCUAGCGUUGUUCGGAAUCACUGGGCGUAAAGCGCACGCAGGCGGAUCGUUAAGUCAGGGGUGAAAUCCUGGAGCUCAACUCCAGAACUGCCUUUGAUACUGAGAAUCUUGAGUACGGGAGAGGUGAGUGGAACUGCGAGUGUAGAGGUGAAAUUCGUAGAUAUUCGCAAGAACACCAGUGGCGAAGGCGGCUCACUGGCCCGUAACUGACGCUGAGGCACGAAAGCGUGGGGAGCAAACAGG
rnacentral:rRNA from 1 species